GAUGAACGCUGGCGGCGUGCCUAAUACAUGCAAGUCGAGCGAACAGACGAGGAGCUUGCUCCUCUGACGUUAGCGGCGGACGGGUGAGUAACACGUGGAUAACCUACCUAUAAGACUGGGAUAACUUCGGGAAACCGGAGCUAAUACCGGAUAAUAUAUUGAACCGCAUGGUUCAAUAGUGAAAGACGGUUUUGCUGUCACUUAUAGAUGGAUCCGCGCCGCAUUAGCUAGUUGGUAAGGUAACGGCUUACCAAGCCAACGAUGCGUAGCCGACCUGAGAGGGUGAUCGGCCACACUGGAACUGAGACACGGUCCAGACUCCUACGGGAGGCAGCAGUAGGGAAUCUUCCGCAAAGGGCGAAAGCCUGACGGAGCAACGCCGCGUGAGUGAUGAAGGUCUUCGGAUCGUAAAACCCUGUUAUUAGGGAAGAACAAAUGUGUAAGUAACUAUGCACGUCUUGACGGUACCUAAUCAGAAAGCCACGGCUAACUACGUG
rnacentral:rRNA from 1 species